UAAUUUUUAGACUAUUAUCCUGAUUGGAGGGGAAAAGGAGGAGGGGUGAUUUUAUACUUUUUUCUUCAAAAUAUCCAUUUUACUUUCUUUUUACACCAAUUGCUUUAGAUCUUUUAUUAUUUUUUGAACAUUGUUUUCUGUGGGAAAAAAAUCUUUUCACAGCAAUAUAAUUGUUGCUGAGUGAUUUUGAAGUACAUUUUCAUGUAAUGCAGAACGGUCUACCAUCAUUUCUAUUUUGCGCUUUACUUAAUGAUAGUAUACUAGUGAUUUUUGAAUGUUGAAUUUUUUUUAAAAGCGAAUACGGAAUAUCGGAACCAUUAUUUCGUCCCCGAUUCCUUCCUGGUUUUAAUAUUUAGUAUGUUCAACGAGAUCAUGUGCAACUUUUCAGUAAAUAUGCAUGAUCGUGGAAAAAAUAAUUCAUGCUGUUUUAGCCAAUGUGGGAAAUACAUGUCGUAAGAAGCAACAUAACUACUCAAAUAAAAGAUAACUCAAACUUAAUUUGUUUCGAGAAAUCCAAGCCAAGUUUUUUUCUUCCAACGAACGCACACGUUGUUUAUCUUAGGGAGGAGAUAUGUGUCUGUAACAUACUCGUCUCGAUGUUAUCGAAAUGCAGCACGGAAAAGGAACAUAGCGCAACGCAUAGAGGCAAGACAAAGAAAUCAACAUGACGCAAGUGUAAAAAAUAUCAGGGGUGACUUUAACUUGUUUCAGAUGUGGAGGAAAAAUGCCAUUAAUUCGUAGAAGGUUUUAAGAGACGGGGACCAAUGAAGUCUAGACCUGCUGAUUUAUUAAUGUUACGUGUGCUUAACAUUAUCAAGACUUCGUCCUGGUUAAUAGGGAGUAUACUGAACACAUUUCCCUAACCAAGUUUGGACUUAGUGAAUUCUUUCAACUUGUCUCGGCUAAAGCUAAUGCUUCAACUUGGUAAUUUAGCUAAGAAAUUGCUAGAAAGUUUUGAGAAGUGUACAUUGAAAAUAUUAGCCAUGUCCUGUAUAUUUUCAAUAUCUGACCAGUUGUCCUUAAUAUGAAUGGGACACGGUUGAGAUACAUGUAACUCCACAUUCCUUAGGAUUAGAGUUCUCCCUAAUUUCUGAUUUGUAAUACAGUGUAUGUAGAUUUCGCAUUAUCAAUCAAAAGCGUAAAUUUACUUCCCCAAUGUUGAAAGUUUUCGAAGUCUGUAUUGAUAGUAAUCGGCGUCAUUAAGUUCUUGUGUCAACCAUUUUGGUUGAGACUCAGUUUUUACUCGUUUAGUAUUUACUUUAGCAUGCCUAUUGAGAUUAAUAUUAAACAUAUUGUAAAGGUUAUCUAAGAUUUUAUUAGGAUUGUGUAAAUUUGUGAGGGCAUUGAAAAUCGGCACUUCGUAAGUUUGAAAGAAAUUCUUUUUCAAUAAAGUUCUUGAAGUCACAGUA